rnacentral:lncRNA from 1 species
AUGUAUACCUCUGCAAAUAAUGCACAUAGACAUCAUGACUUAUACACAGUUAAGGUCUGACUUAUACCCAGUGUUGUUAUUUCCCUAGGAGUAGGAUUUCUAAGUGAUAGACAAAAAUAAUGUACUAAUAAAGGAGGUGUUGAAUCAAUAAAACAUAGGUCCUGAGAACAUAGUUUUCUAAUGCAUAUAUGAAUCUUAAACAUGGUUUCUAUUGUACAAUUAGGAAUAUAAACCUAAUAACAUGCUUUCUGCCCUUUAACAACUAUAACAUGUAUAUUUCCCCAUCCCUUUUCACUAGCUACCUCAAUGCUUGUUUACAAAUUAUUACAGAUCAUGUGAUUGAAUUACAUAAGAAAUAAAAAAUAAGAAGUUACAACUAUGGGAAGCCUGAUUUUUACUUCCUCUCUUAAUUAUGCAAUAAACCACAUCAAAUUCCUAUUCUGUUCCAAAGCCUUUCUCAUAUCUGGGUCUGUCAGAGUUCCCUAAGGACCUCAAAGGAUCCAGGGUAGUGCUUACACCCAGAUUGCAUAACCAAGGAGUUAGUGCAGUGUGGAAGGGACAGCUCUUAUGUGUCCAGGUUCAGAGGGAGCUCAAGGGUCCUAAAGCAAGGCUUACACAAAAGGGGCAGAACCUAGUAUUCUAAGAGUACAGGUGAGAGUGCUUGACAUAGAUUCAAGAGAGUUGAGUUGGAAAACAGUUUUGAAAAAUGAUUGGUUUGAAGUAAAUUUACAAUAGCUACAGAAGAGUUGUUUAGGAAAAAUAGUUUUGAAAGGGGCAGGGAAUCAACACAUAUAAAUAGGUCCCAGUGCAACUUCAACAGUUACAAACAGGGGAAUAGGGGUUGGGGACAUAGA